UUGUAAUGAGGGAAGCUCGCAAGAGCAAGGAUACAGGUGGUGCAUGGUUGUCGUCAGCUCGUGUCGUGAGAUGUUGGGUUAAGUCCCGCAGCGAGCGCAACCCUUGUUGUUAAUUGCUAACAGGUUAAGCUGAGCACUUUAGCGAGACAGCCUAGGUUAACUAGGAGGAAGGUGGGGAUGACGUCAAAUCAUCAUGCCCCUUACGUUUAGGGCUACACACGUGCUACAAUGGUGAGAACAGAGAGAAGCAAGCUAGUGAUAGUGAGCAAAGCUUAUAAAACUCAUCUCAGUUCGGAUUGCAGGCUGAAACUCGCCUGUAUGAAGAUGGAGUUGCUAGUAAUCGCGAAUCAGAAUGUCGCGGUGAAUACGUUCCCGGGUCUUGUACACACCGCCCGUCACACCAUGAGAGUUGGCAACACCCGAAACCUGUGGGCUAACCAUAUAGGAGGCAGCAGUCUAAGGUGGGGUCAGUGAUUGGGGUGAAGUCGUAACAAGGUAGCCGUAGGAGAACCUGCGGC
rnacentral:rRNA from 1 species